rnacentral:rRNA from 1 species
GUAGGUGGGCAAGCGUUGUCCGGAAUUAUUGGGCGUAAAGCGCGCGCAGGGCGGUCCUUUAAGUCUGAUGUGAAAGCCCACGGCUCAACCGUGGAGGGUCAUUGGAAACUGGGGGACUUGAGUACAGAAGAGGAAAGCGGAAUUCCAAGUGUAGCGGUGAAAUGCGUAGAGAUUUGGAGGAACACCAGUGGCGAAGGCGGCUUUCUGGUCUGUAACUGACGCUGAGGCGCGAAAGCGUGGGGAGCAAACGGGAUUAGAUACCCUGGUAGUCCACGCCGUAAACGAUGAGUGCUAAGUGUUAGGGGGUUUCCGCCCCUUAGUGCUGCAGCUAACGCAUUAAGCACUCCGCCUGGGGAGUACGGCCGCAAAGGCUG